rnacentral:rRNA from 1 species
GAUGAAUGCUGGCGGCGUGUUUAAGACAUGCAAGUCGCACGGGAACAUUUUGGCAGUAAUACUUGGAUGUUCCAGUGGCGCACGGGUGAGUAACACGUGAAUGACAUGCCCUUUAGAGGGGGAUAGCCCAGGGAAACUUGGAUUAAUACCCCAUGGUCUCGCAAGAGUAAAGGUGGCCGCAAGGCUGUCGCUAAAGGAUUGGUUCGCGUCCUAUCAGCUAGUUGGCGGGGUAACGGCCCACCAAGGCGACGACGGGUACCUGGUCUGAGAGGACGAUCAGGCACACUGGAACUGAGACACGGUCCAGACACCUACGGGUGGCAGCAGUCGAGAAUAAUUCACAAUGGGGGCAACCCUGAUGGUGCAACGCCGCGUGGAGGAUGAAGGUCUUCGGAUUGUAAACUCCUGUCAUCCGGGAGUAAGACCUGGCGAUGAAUAGUCGACAGGGUUGAUAGUACCGGAAGAGGAAGGGACGGCUAACUUCGUGCCAGCAGCCGCAGUAA